rnacentral:rRNA from 1 species
AGCAGCCGCGGUAAUUCCAGCUCCAAUAGCGUAUAUUAAAGUUGUUGCAGUUAAAAAGCUCGUAGUUGAAUUUCGAGACCGGCUUACUGGUCGUGCUAUUGUACGUACUGGUAUAAUCGGUUUCUCCUUUCUGACGAACUAUAAUGCCAUUAAUUUGGUGUUAUAGGGAAUCAGGACUGUUACUUUGAAAAAAUUAGAGUGUUUAAAGCAGGCUCACGCUUGAAUACAUUAGCAUGGAAUAACGGAAUAGGACGUUUGAUUCUAUUUUGUUGGUUUCUAGGAUCGACGUAAUGAUUAAUAGGGAUAGUUGGGGGCAUUAGUAUUCAAUUGUCAGAGGUGAAAUUCUUGGAUUUAUUGAAGACUAACUACUGCGAAAGCAUUUUGCCAAAGGAUGUUUUCAUUAAUCAAGAACGAAAGUUAGGGGAUCGAAGACGAUCAGAUACCGUCGUAGUCUUAACCAUAAACUAUGCCGACUAGGGAUCGGAUGAUGUUAAUUUUUUAAUGACUCAUUCGGCGCCUU